AUUGAACGCUGGCGGCAUGCUUUACACAUGCAAGUCGAACGGUAACAGGCCUUCGGGUGCUGACGAGUGGCGAACGGGUGAGUAAUGCAUCGGAACGUACCCAGAGGUGGGGGAUAACGCAGCGAAAGCUGUGCUAAUACCGCAUGUGAUCUGAGGAUGAAAGCGGGGGACCGAGCAGCAAUGUUUGGCCUCGCGCCUUUGGAGCGGCCGAUGUCGGAUUAGCUAGUUGGUGGGGUAAAGGCCUACCAAGGCGACGAUCCGCAGCUGGUCUGAGAGGACGACCAGCCACACUGGGACUGAGACACGGCCCAGACUCCUACGGGAGGCAGCAGUGGGGAAUUUUGGACAAAGGGCGCAAGCCUGAUCCAGCAAUGCCGCGUGCGGGAAGAAGGCCUUCGGGUUGUAAACCGCUUUUGGCAGGAACGAAACGGUGUCCGCUAAUACCGGGCGCUAAUGACGGUACCUGCAGAAUAAGCACCGGCUAACUACGUG
rnacentral:rRNA from 1 species